AUGCAAGUCGAACGAUGAAGCUGGAGCUUGCUCCGGUGGAUUAGUGGCGAACGGGUGAGUAACACGUGAGCAAUCUGCCCUUGACUCUGGGAUAACUGCGGGAAACUGUAGCUAAUACCGGAUACGAGACUUGGAGGCAUCUCCAGGUCUGGAAAGAAUUUCGGUCAAGGAUGAGCUCGCGGCCUAUCAGCUAGUUGGUGAGGUAAUGGCUCACCAAGGCGACGACGGGUAGCCGGCCUGAGAGGGUGACCGGCCACACUGGGACUGAGACACGGCCCAGACUCCUACGGGAGGCAGCAGUGGGGAAUAUUGCACAAUGGGCGAAAGCCUGAUGCAGCAACGCCGCGUGAGGGAUGAAGGCCUUCGGGUUGUAAACCUCUUUUAGCAGGGAAGAAGCGAAAGUGACGGUACCUGCAGAAAAAGCACCGGCUAACUACGUGCCAGCAGCCGCGGUAAUACGUAGGGUGCAAGCGUUGUCCGGAAUUAUUGGGCGUAAAGAGCUCGUAGGCGGUUUGUCGCGUCUGCUGUGAAAAUCCGAGGCUCAACCUCGGACUUGCAGUGGGUACGGGCAGACUAGAGUGCAGUAGGGGAGAAGGGAAUUCCUGGUGUAGCGGUGGAAUGCGCAGAUAUCAGGAGGAACACCGAUGGCGAAGGCACUUCUCUGGGCUGUAACUGACGCUGAGGAGCGAAAGCGUGGGGAGCGAACAGGAUUAGAUACCCUGGUAGUCCACGCCGUAAACGUUGGGCGCUAGAUGUGGGCCACAUUCCACGUGGUCCGUGUCGCAGCUAACGCAUUAAGCGCCCCGCCUGGGGAGUACGGCCGCAAGGCUAAAACUCAAAGGAAUUGACGGGGGCCCGCACAAGCGGCGGAGCAUGCGGAUUAAUUCGA
rnacentral:rRNA from 1 species